UACGUAGGGUGGGAGCGUUGUCCGGAAUUACUGGGCGUAAAGAGCUUGUAGGCGGUUUGUCGCGUCGUCUGUGAAACCUCACAGCUCAACUGUGAGCUUGCAGGCGAUACGGGCAGACUUGAGUACUGCAGGGGAGACUGGAAUUCCUGGUGUAGCGGUGAAAUGCGCAGAUAUCAGGAGGAACACCGGUGGCGAAGGCGGGUCUCUGGGCAGUAACUGACGCUGAGAAGCGAAAGCGUGGGUAGCGAACAGG
rnacentral:rRNA from 1 species